GACGAACGCUGGCGGCGUGCCUAAUACAUGCAAGUCGAACGCAGUGGGGAUGGGUGAGUAGCACGUGGGUAACCUCGCAUCAGAGGGGAUAACACUUGGAAACAGGUGCUAAACCGAUACUGGUGGAUGGGCCCGCGGUGGAUUAGCUAGUUGGUGAGGUAACGGCUCACCAGGGCCAAGAGGCAUAGGCGAGUGUGUGGGGUGAUCGGCAACAACGGGGCCUGGACACGGCCCAGAAUCCUACGGGAGGCAGCAGGAGGGAAUUUUCGGCAAUGGACGCAAGUCUGACCGAGCAAAGCCGCGGGAGCGAAGAAAGGUUUCGGAUCUGAAAACUCUGUUGUUCAGGGAGCGGGAACUAGCCAAAAAGCCACGGCUAACUACGGUCCAGCAGCCGCGGUAAUUC
rnacentral:rRNA from 1 species